rnacentral:rRNA from 1 species
AGAUGUCGUUAAGUCGCUACGAGCGCAACCUCGUCGUAUGUUAUUAUGUGUCAUACGAGACUGCCGGUAAAAAGCCGGAGGAAGGUGAGGAUGAUGUCAAGUCAGCAUGACCUUUAUAUCCAGGGCUACACACACGCUACAAUGGUCUGUACAAUGGGUAGCCAAGCCGCGAGGCGGAGCCAAUCCUGAAAGCAGGCCUCAGUUCAGAUUGCAGUCUGCAACUCGACUGCAUGAAGCCGGAGUUGCUAGUAACCGCAGGUCAGCAAUACUGCGGUGAAUACGUUCCCGGGUCUU